UUUCAGUUCUCAGGUUCAGGCAGAUUUGAUUCACUCUUCCUCCUGACGUCCGACCGUCUCCUACCUCAUCCCACCUCUCUCCGGGCAAUUUUCUUUAGAAUAUCUCUAUAAACCACCAUGGCUGAUACCGCAGUUGAUACGACCACCGCCCCCGAAAUCACCGCAAAGGAACUGAAAGAAAAGAAAGAGGUAGUUGAAGAGACAGAGGAGGCUGCGAAGGAAAACGGCAGCGAAGAAGCACCUGCCAAUGGAAAUGGAACAACUAAUGGUGCUGCACAUGAAGAAGAAACCCAUGAUGAUGAAGAGGGUGGAAAGGACGAGGAGGCUUGUUCAACAGCAGGAGAGGAAAAGGAGGAGGAGGAGGAGAAUGGUGCUGAGGAAGAGGCAAAUGAACAUCCUGUAAAACGUCCAGCAGAAGAGGAGUAUGGUGUCCCCAUCACUAUACUGGGGCAUUGGGACCCACACAGCACCCCCUGCUGGCCUCCCUAAUACCUCUUCCAGCAGCAACCUUAGUUUUCCCCAGGAGGUCUCCCAUCCAGGAGGCAGUCGAAACAAAGAAACAGAAGACAGAGGAGAACGGUGACUCCACAGAGGCUGAAGUCAAAGCUUAAGAGUUCUCACUGCUCUUCAGUUGCUCGGUCUGACCUAGUAGAGUUUGUGCUUUCCUGUAUAUUUCAGAUAUUAUCCUGCCAUUACAAGACCUUUAUAUUGCACUGAGGCCCGUAACAUCAUGACCCCGUCCCCUUUUGGAAGAUCUUAUUUAUUGGUGCAGGACCAAAUGUUUUAGGACCCUGUAUUAGAAGAAACGUUGAAAAGUUUAUUUGAAGCACAAGUCUUAACAAGCACACAUUCUACUCUGUUAUUUGACCAGCUCAUGUACACGCAAGCAACUGAAAGUCUAAAGUUUUGUUAUUUUCAUGGGUGACAUUUCUUAUCCACUAAAGACCAAAGAUAAGUUUUAAGCAGGGGCUAAUAGACAAUGUUUCACCUGAUUGUGCUGCUAGUAUUGAAUCCCUCGCUUAGGCAGAUCAGUUAACAGAACAGAUGGUUCAUAUGAAUGAGGGUUUCCUUUUUCUGACUAACAUGCUCAUUAACCCCUUUUUAAAUCGUUUUGGUCUUUUGUUCCACAUGCAUUGAAAAGGAUUGUAUCGUUCUAUCCUGAUGUACAGUUUUGGGGUUUUUUUGUUUUAUCAUUGUGUUUUAUAUGGGAAGUGCAGAAUGAUAAUCUAUAACAGAACCGUAUGCUAGUACUGGUGUUCUUACAGUCCUUAAAGCAAAUUCUUUUUUUCUUUUUUUUUAUAAAUGUGUUUUGGUUGCUUUUUGACCACUGCUUUGUAUAGUUUGGUUCAGGAUUAUAAAUAAAACCAGUCUUGUCUUUUUAA